rnacentral:rRNA from 1 species
AGUGGCGGACGGGUGAGUAACGCGUGGGCAACCUGCCUUAUACAGGGGGAUAACAGUUGGAAACGACUGCUAAUACCGCAUAAGCGCACAGUACCGCAUGGUGCAGUGUGAAAAGGAGCAAUCCGGUAUAAGAUGGGCCCGCGUCUGAUUAGCUGGUUGGCAGGGUAACGGCCUACCAAGGCGACGAUCAGUAGCCGGCUUGAGAGAGUGACCGGCCACAUUGGGACUGAGACACGGCCCAAACUCCUACGGGAGGCAGCAGUGGGGGAUAUUGCACAAUGGGGGAAACCCUGAUGCAGCGACGCCGCGUGAGUGAAGAAGUACUUCGGUAUGUAAAGCUCUAUCAGCAGGGACGAAGAAUGACGGUACCUGACUAAGAAGCCCCGGCUAACUACGUGCCAGCAGCCGCGGUAAUACGUAGGGGGCAAGCGUUAUCCGGAUUUACUGGGUGUAAAGGGAGCGUAGACGGUGACGUAAGUCAGAUGUGAAAGCCCAGGGCUCAACUCUGGGACUGCAUUUGAAACUAUGUUGCUAGAGUGCAGGAGAGGUAAGUGGAAUU